AAAUAAGCGAGCUAUUAGAGCUUCAUUAUUUUGAACCGUUGGUACCUUCGGCUGAAGAGUAUUUUACUCAUUAUCACAGUUUUCCCUUUUCUUGGGUGUUACUUUACGAACCUGAGGAGUAUUUUACUCAUUAUCACAGUUUUCCCUUUUCUUCGGUGUUACUUUACGAACCAUCUGCAAAAAAAAUUAAUUAGCUACUAAGAUAAGCAUUUCACAAAAAAAAAAAAAUCACAUCUUUAAAAGAAUACAGAAAAAUUCUAGACUAUUGAAUUGCCGCCGAAGCGUGUGUGCCUCGGUCGCGAUUACAGAGGUGCAAUGGUUCGGCACAGGUAUAAAAUUCAAUGCGUUUCAAUGAAUGGUCGGGAAGAUAAAGGUUCAAUGGUUUGGAACCCGCACGACGUUUAAUGUGCUGCUUUAAAAGCUUCUUGUGAAGAACGAAGCUGGGCAUUGAACGCAUUUGAGUAGCCUUUCAUUAGUAUGAGUACCAGUAUGACAUCUUAAGUUUUUCAACUUAAAUGCAGCAGGACAAUGUUCACAUUUAAAUUGCCUCUCAUCAGAAUGUAUUACCAUAUGCAAUUUUAAGCUAUUCUUUAAUUUAAAUGAUGCAGAGCAGAGUUCACAUUUGAAUGGCCUCUCAUCAGAAUUUUUUUCGCUGUUUUAAAGCUGUUAAAAGCUAAUCUCUCUAUCGAAAAAUCAUUGAGAAGAAUGCACAGAUAUCAGAGCCGAGCAGGAAAAGUAUGUUCUAAAAACACGCACCUGGUGUAUGCAAUUCAGCACGGAGACCAAGAUAACAUUCUUCAAGUGACUAGCGCGUAAUGCCUUUUAGGUCCUGCUAUCAAGUCUUGUAUGUUUCUUGCAUAUAUUUUGUAUAGUGUUUCGACUUUUAAGGUCCCAUUUAAUGCCAAUUUGGCUGGCUUUCAUUCGUUGCCAUUUGCAGGCACAAUGUGGCUGCCAAGCGCCUCACCACCCUCUACUGCACAACAGGCGUAGAGUUUAUCUCCAUUCAUGUUUUGACAGACGUUCUUCAUUCUAUAAAAAAGGAAUACAACCGUAGCAAAUCUGAAAGAGGCAAAGAUCAUUUGUAUGAUUAGUUUCCUUUCGAAAGAAGUGAUGCGGUGUAACGUGAUCUUUUGCUGCAAAUGCAACUGAAUGUUGACGAAGAACAUUACCGAAAUUACUGCUCUGUACUAUGAAACUACCUUCAAAUGGAUGGUUACUUUCUGAAAGUACUUCCGAAAUGACAGAGGAAAUU
rnacentral:lncRNA from 1 species